rnacentral:rRNA from 1 species
GACGAACGCUGGCGGCGUGCCUAAUACAUGCAAGUAGAACGCUGAAGGAGGAGCUUGCUUCUCUGGAUGAGUUGCGAACGGGUGAGUAACGCGUAGGUAACCUGCCUGGUAGCGGGGGAUAACUAUUGGAAACGAUAGCUAAUACCGCAUAAGAGUAGAUGUUGCAUGACAUUUGCUUAAAAGGUGCAAUUGCAUCACUACCAGAUGGCCCUGCGUUGUAUUAGCUAGUUGGUGAGGUAACGGCUCACCAAGGCGACGAUACAUAGCCGACCUGAGAGGGUGAUCGGCCACACUGGGACUGAGACACGGCCCAGACUCCUACGGGAGGCAGCAGUAGGGAAUCUUCGGCAAUGGACGGAAGUCUGACCGAGCAACGCCGCGUGAGUGAAGAAGGGUUUCGGAUCGUAAAGCUCUGUUGUAAGAGAAGAACGAGUGUGAGAGUGGAAAGUUCACACUGUGACGGUAGCUUACCAGAAAGGGACGGCUAACUACGUG